UUAAUGACCGUUGAAGUCUCACUUUGAA
rnacentral:misc_RNA from 1 species